rnacentral:rRNA from 1 species
UACAGAGGGUGCGAGCGUUAAUCGGAAUUACUGGGCGUAAAGCGUGCGUAGACGGCUAUCUAAGUCGGGUGUGAAAGCCCCGGGCUCAACCUGGGAAUUGCAUUCGAGACUGAAUAGCUAGGGUACGGUAGAGGGAAGUGGAAUUUCCGGUGUAGCGGUGAAAUGCGUAGAUAUCGGAAGGAACAUCAGUGGCGAAAGCGACUCCUGGACCAGUACCGACGUUCAGGCACGAAAGCCGUGGGGAGCAAACAGGA